rnacentral:rRNA from 1 species
AGUCGAGGGGCAGCAUUUCAGCUUUGCUUGCAAACUGGAGAUGGCGACCGGCGCACGGGUGAGUAACACGUAUCCAACCUGCCGAUAACUCGGGGAUAGCCUUUCGAAAGAAAGAUUAAUACCCGAUGGNAUAAUCAGACCGCAUGGUCUUAUUAUUAAAGAAUUUCGGUUAUCGAUGGGGAUGCGUUCCAUUAGGCAGUUGGUGAGGUAACGGCUCACCAAACCUUCGAUGGAUAGGGGUUCUGAGAGGAAGGUCCCCCACAUUGGAACUGAGACACGGUCCAAACUCCUACGGGAGGCAGCAGUGAGGAAUAUUGGUCAAUGGGCGCAGGCCUGAACCAGCCAAGUAGCGUGAAGGAUGACUGCCCUAUGGGUUGUAAACUUCUUUUAUAUGGGAAUAAAGUUUUCCACGUGUGGAAUUUUGUAUGUACCAUAUGAAUAAGGAUCGGCUAACUCCGUGCCAGCAGCCGCGGUAAUACGGAGGAUCCGAGCGUUAUCCGGAUUUAUUGGGUUUAAAGGGAGCGUAGGUGGACAGUUAAGUCAGUUGUGAAAGUUUGCGGCUCAACCGUAAAAUUGCAGUUGAUACUGGCUGUCUUUGAGUACAGUAGAGGUGGGCGGAAUUCGUGGUGUAGCGGUGAAAUGCUUAGAUAUCACGAAGAACUCCGAUUGCGAAGGCAGCUCACUGGACUGCAACUGACACUGAUGCUCGAAAGUGUGGGUAUCAAACAGGAUUAGAUACCCUGGUAGUCCACACAGUAAACGAUGAAUACUCGCUGUUUGCGAUAUACAGUAAGCGGCCAAGCGAAAGCAUUAAGUAUUCCACCUGGGGAGUACGCCGGCAACGGUGAAACUCAAAGGAAUUGACGGGGGNCCCGCACAAGCGGAGGAACAUGUGGUUUAAUUCGAUGAUACGCGAGGAACCUUACCCGGGCUUAAAUUGCAUUUGAAUANUUUGGAAACAGNNUAGCCGCAAGGCAAAUGUGAAGGUGCUGCAUGGUUGUCGUCAGCUCGUGCCGUGAGGUGUCGGCUUAAGUGCCAUAACGAGCGCAACCCUUAUCUUUAGUUACUAACAGGUCAUGCUGAGGACUCUAGAGAGACUGCCGUCGUAAGAUGUGAGGAAGGUGGGGAUGACGUCAAAUCAGCACGGCCCUUACGUCCGGGGCUACACACGUGUUACAAUGGGGGGUACAGAAGGCAGCUACCUGGUGACAGGAUGCUAAUCCCAAAAGCCUCUCUCAGUUCGGAUCGAAGUCUGCAACCCGACUUCGUGAAGCUGGAUUCGCUAGUAAUCGCGCAUCAGCCAUGGCGCGGUGAAUACGUUCCCGGGCCUUGUACACACCGCCCGUCAAGCCAUGAAAGCCGGGGGUACCUGAAGUACGUAACCGCAAGGAG